UAAAAGAUUCCGAUUUUUGUAGGUAUAUAUUCUUUCUCAUGUAAUUAAAAAUAUUUUAAAAAAACUAAACCCUUUGCAACAUCGUCUCUACCACUCAUCGUCUAUACCACUCAUCGUACCUCACCGCAUCGCACCAGCCACGGCGGAGGCGGAAACAGAGAAAUCACCAUUAAUCCCACCACCUCUGAACCACCGCUGAAACAUAUUACAUGCUCGUCGGAGAACUCUGAACUGUGCACUGUCGGAGGGUGGAAGGUGCGAUUUGGUGUGAAGAGAUCAUAGUAAGGUUUGGUAAGACUACUUAAUCUAAUGCUAAGUAAUUACCAUCCCUAAAUUUCAUCAUCACCCAAUGCACCAUUUUGUAAAAAAUCGAUCUUUUUCAUGCUUUCAAACUCUCAAAAUCUUUCCUUUCUCAACCCAACAAAUGGGUAUGGCUUCAAUUGCUGAUACACUUUAUACCAAUCUCAAUAAAAACAAUGGCAUUAAUAUUGAGAAUUCAUUGUCCAAGACUAAACCCAAAUUGGACUCUCAAUGUGUUAUCCAAGUUCUUAGUAAGUGCUGUCCUAAACAAUCUGAGUUGGGUGUUAG
rnacentral:lncRNA from 1 species